UACGUAGGGGGCAAGCGUUGUCCGGAAUCAUUGGGCGUAAAGAGCGCGCAGGCGGUCGUUCAAGUCGAGUGUGAAAGCCCCCGGCUCAACUGGGGAGGGUCACUCGAUACUGAUCGACUUGAAGGCAGGAGAGGGAAGCGGAAUUCCCGGUGUAGUGGUGAAAUGCGUAGAUAUCGGGAGGAACACCGGUGGCGAAGGCGGUUCUCUGGGCCUGACCUGACGCUGAGGAGCGAAAGCGUGGGGAGCGAACAGG
rnacentral:rRNA from 1 species